GCUGGAAUUACAUUAUUGUGCCUGCCCACAAGUUAACUGUUAUAACACAGGGAGGAAACAUUUAUGUCUUCACAGUUAAAACCUCAAGCGAUUUUGGAUUACUAUGGGUGCCUAAGAUAAGUGGGACCUGCUAACUGUUCAUCCAGUCCUCCUGAGCCUCCUCUUUUCUAUAGACCAGAAUACCCUCUUCUGCAAUCCUCUGUUUUUCGCUUACAUUGCAGAUGGACUGGCUUCUCACCCAUUCCGUGCACAGUAUUGAUAAGAACUUACCAGAGCAAGACAUAAACUUCUAUUGCACCCAAGACAAUUCCUCUUCACUCAGUAUGGUCUGGAUAUGCCAAUCCUGUUGAACCUGUUGAUUCGCGUCUGAAAUCAUUCCUCUUGCUGGGUGACAGGAUCAAAGAAAACAAUGACUGUGAAACUCAAUAUAACAAAAAUCAUUUAAAAACUGCUUAAAAUAAAUGUGCAAAUAACCAAUACAAAGCUCUACUCAUCGCGUGUUACAGAAGCUGUAAUUAAGCUAGAAUAUUGGUUGGGGGCCUUCUGAAAGGCUGUGAUGGAGCUAAAGGAG
rnacentral:lncRNA from 1 species